rnacentral:rRNA from 1 species
GACGAACGCUGGCGGCGUGCCUAAUACAUGCAAGUUGAGCGCUGAAGGUUGGUACUUGUACCAACUGGAUGAGCAGCGAACGGGUGAGUAACGCGUGGGGAAUCUGCCUUUGAGCGGGGGACAACAUUUGGAAACGAAUGCUAAUACCGCAUAAAAACUUUAAACACAAGUUUUAAGUUUGAAAGAUGCAAUUGCAUCACUCAAAGAUGAUCCCGCGUUGUAUUAGCUAGUUGGUGAGGUAAAGGCUCACCAAGGCGAUGAUACAUAGCCGACCUGAGAGGGUGAUCGGCCACAUUGGGACUGGGACACGGCCCAAACGCCUACGGGAGGCAGCAGUAGGGAAUCUUCGGCAAUGGACGAAAGUCUGACCGAGCAACGCCGCGUGAGUGAAGAAGGGUUUCGGAUCGUAAAACUCUGUUGGUAGAGAAGAACGUUGGUGAGAGUGGAAAGCUCAUCAAGUGACGGUAACUACCCAGAAAGGGACGGCUAACUACGUG